rnacentral:rRNA from 1 species
CGGGGGGGCAAGCGUUGUUCGGAAUUACUGGGCGUAAAGGGCUCGUAGGCGGCCAACUAAGUCGGACGUGAAAUCCCCAGGCUCAACCUGGGAACUGCGUCCGAUACUGGAUGGCUUGAAUCCGGGAGAGGGAUGCAGAAUUCCAGGUGUAGCGGUGAAAUGCGUAGAUAUCUGGAGGAAUACCGGUGGCGAAGGCGGCAUCCUGGACCGGCAUUGACGCUGAGGAGCGAAAGCCAGGGGAGCAAACGGGAUUAGAUACCCCGGUAGUCCUGGCCCUAAACGAUGAAUGCUUGGUGUAACGGGUAUCGAUCCCUGUUGUGCCGAAGCUAACGCAUUAAGCAUUCCGCCUGGGGAGUACGGUCGCAAGGCUG